UUCCAUUCCGAACCCGGUAGCUAAGCCUUUCAGCGCCGAUGGUACUGCAUGGGUGACUGUGUGGGAGAGUAGGACGCCGCCGGAC
rnacentral:rRNA from 1 species